CCUCCACCUGAAGCCACAGCAAAGACCUAUGAAAUCUGCCAUCCAGCCACAAAAUUCCACCUUCCUCCCCUGUGCCUGCUGUCUCCAUGGUCUGGUGGGGCCACUGGGAGGAUGACAGCAGCCAAGAGCAGGGCUUUUCCUGGGAAGGAAGGGCUGUUUCACGCUCUAGCUUCAUGGGGUGUCUGCAAGGUGCCCAGAGGGACACCCUGUGCCUGGAGAGUGCCAGGGCAUGCAGGGAGGGGCUCUAUCCUCUGCUGGGUUCCAGGAAAGGCCUUGGCAGGCCGCUCAGGCCUGAGCUUCAGGGCCUUUAAGGGUGGGGCUGUUGGAGGGACCCUAAGCUGCUAAAGUGCCUCACCUGGUACUCAGGCCCCAGGCGCAUUUGAUGGUGUGUGGCCCGCUCACUCUGCAGCUGAAAGUGAGACUAUGGAUACCAACCCAAGCCUGAGCCAGGACCACCUUCCUGCACAGCCAGCACCCUUCCCACACAUCCUAUCACCCAGUCAGAUCACCAAAUCCCCCAGAGUGAAGUACCUUGGCUGCCAUCUACACCAGACUUCAAUCAAAUGUCUGAAAUCUGCCCGUGGUGUCCCAGGAUGGCUGGUGUUAGUGAUGCUCUGGAGUGGUGACUGGGACAUAGUCCUUCUGGACACCACCAUCUCCAUGUCCGGUCACCAUGGGAGACUAGAAGUGACUGAACUCAUACCCCCCUGAUGCCCACUGUGACCCAGUCCCCCAAACUCCUAAUGAAAGAGGAAGCUGCAGAAGAGAGACAUCCAAGUCAGCCACAGGGAGUUUGUGCAAGAUCCCAGCUGCACCUUGGUGCACAGUGGACUGAGUGCACCUGCCUGCUGGGAAGCCAGAGGGCAGAGGGCAGAAAGGAGAGCUGUGCAGACAGAGGUUCCAGUGGGAUCUUGUCCUUGAGAGAGUCUAGCCUGCCUUGCUGUGGGGCCCUAGUCCAAUGGUCAUUUUCUCCCCCACACACUCAGAGUAAUCCUGGCCCCUGCCACCCAAUCUUGACCCAGGUCAAAAUCCACCCCCCACCAGAAGGAUCUGAGAACCUCCACGCCAUUUUGAUCAGUUUGUCAUCAAUAAAUUCCCUUUGAG
rnacentral:lncRNA from 1 species